rnacentral:misc_RNA from 1 species
GAUGAAGAACGUAGCGAAAUGCGAUAAGUAAUGUGAAUUGCAGAAUUCAGUGAAUCAUCGAAUCUUUGAACGCACAUUGCGCCCCUUGGUAUUCCGAGGGGCAUGCCUGUUCGAGCGUCAUUAUAACCCCUCAAGCUCAGCUUGGUGUUGGGGCCUGCCGCACGGGCAGCCCUUAAAAUCAGUGGCGGUGCCAUCUGGCUCUAAGCGUAGUAAUUCUUCUCGCUAUAGAGUCCCGGUGGAUGCUUGCCAUUAACCCCCAAUUUUCUAUGGUUGACCUCGGAUCAGGUAGGUAUACCCGCUGAACUUAAGCAUAUCAAUAAGCGGAGGA